CCAGCCAACCCUAAUCCUCCGGAGUAGCUGGGGCUACUCAGCUCACUCUGUCUUUGUGUCCACACUGGAACAACCCUGCGUUUCCUUCCUACCCUUCCCCAAUCCCACAGGGACACAGGAAACGGGGCCUGACUCCUGAUGCUUCUGGAAAGUCAAGGCCCGUCUGCGUGUUCCCCAAGUGUGCUGCGGCGCCCGGCCCGGCUCCCUCCAGGGCCCGGGGUCACCUCUGGGCUGACAGCUGUCUCCUCUCCGCCUCCCUCCCAUCCCUCCGCCAGCGUUCUCCGCGGGUGCUGGGCAGUGGCCGAAGGACGUCGCACACAUCGUGGACAACAACCCGAGAGGCCGGGAGAGUUGAGACCUAAGUGAAGGACGUGAAUAGAGACACAAAUCACAGUGCAGCUCCGGGAGAUGAACAAAGGCAGCAGAAAACAGUGUGCCGAAGAAGCCAUUGCCGGUGGAUGGACAGGACCUGCCAGUAAGCACGGGUGACCCUUCCGUGUGCAGGGAAGCCUAUGACAGCUGGGGCCGAAGCAGCUCUUGGCCAGAGAUGCCAGCCAGCAAGUCUGCAGAGGCUCCCUACCCUGACAACAUGACUGAAUCUAGGGGCGGUAAGGUAUGGGCUUGAGUGUUUUAUUUAUCUAUCUAUCUAUCUAUCUAUCUAUCUAUCUAUCUAUCUAUCUAUUUAUUUAAUUUGGUACCGGGGAUUGAACUCAGGUCCUUGAGCUUGCGAGGCAGGCGGCAGAACCACUGAGCUAAAUCACCGGCCCCCGGCUCGAGUGUUUUAACAUACUGUGAGCAUUGAUAGGAGCUGAUGUUAAAGUGCAGUUGAGCUCCCGGAAGCUAGCCCCAAGCAGGUGUUGGCGUGGAGAGCACUCUCAGAGGAAGGAGGGGCACCAGACCACGGGAGGAGGCCGGUCCAUUCCAGGAGGAAUCCAGUAUAUUCGGAAGUUUCUGCAGCAGGGGCAGAGACAGAUGCCAGCUCUGUCGGCCAGGCCGGGGAGACAGGGGCUCAGGAGCAGCACUUCGUGAGGUGUCCAGGUGGCAGGAUGGGACAGAGCAGGGCACCAGCCCGGAAGAGAGAGGGAGAGGACAGGGGCUGCUCCCCGGUGGGCCAGGAGAGCUGGUCCUGAGCUCUGGGGAGUGUC
rnacentral:lncRNA from 1 species